rnacentral:tRNA from 1 species
GCUCCCAUGGCCCAGUGGGUUAGUGCGUCGUACUUAUAAGCAGUAUAUACGAAGGUCGAGGGUUCGAUUCCCUCCGGAAGCA